AUGGAGCUGAGAAAUCUACUUCAAAGAGAGGGAAAGAGUGCUAGUCCGAAAGAACAAGCAAGGGAUGAGCGCAUGGGAGCGAAAUCCGUUGCGCCCACGCGCAUACGUUUUCUUGUUGGGACAAAUCCUAAUGUUGGUAAAAUAUACAUGUUGAUCAAGGCCAAGGACAAUGAAGCAGCCAUGAAUAGAUUGAAGACCGAUGAAAUCCAUGGGAAAAACUACCACAGCUUCGUAUUAAGCAAGCAGGUUCCAGUCGUUGGUAAUUUCAGGGAAGCCUACAUUGGCAUUGCUCCUGAGGUAGCCAAAGAGAUCACGAAAGAAGUGGAUGUUAUCGUAAACUCUGCAGCAAAUACCACUUUUGAUGAGAGGUAUGAUGUAGCACUAGACAUCAACACCGUGGGGCCAUUCCGGAUAAUGAGUUUCGCGCAGCGGUUUCGAAGACUGAAGCUCUUCUUGCAAGUAUCAACAGCAUAUGUGAAUGGGCAGAGGCAAGGUUUGAUACUAGAGAAGCCAUUUUGCUUAGGGGAUACCAUAACAAAGGGGAUAGGUUCCUCAGAUUUUUCGGGACAUCAGAAUACCGUGUUGGAUAUCGAGGCUGAGAUCAAGUUGGCUUUUGACUCCAGAAGGCAUUCUUCUGCCUCCGUUUCUGUUACUCAAGAAAUGAAAGAGUUAGGUAGUCGAGGGCCAAACUCUAUGGUUGGCAAGACAGUUAUUCUUAUCGAGAUACAAGCUGUUACCAACCUGAUACAACGCAAGUCACAAGCUUGA
rnacentral:rRNA from 1 species